rnacentral:rRNA from 1 species
AGCGAACGCUGGCGGCAGGCUUAACACAUGCAAGUCGAGCGGGCGUAGCAAUACGUCAGCGGCAGACGGGUGAGUAACACGUGGGAACGUACCUUUUGGUUCGGAACAACACAGGGAAACUUGUGCUAAUACCGAAUAAGCCCGUUACGGGGAAAGAUUUAUCGCCGAAAGAUCGGCCCGCGUCUGAUUAGCUUGUUGGUGAGGUAACGGCUCACCAAGGCGACGAUCAGUAGCUGG